GCACUUCUGAGAAGUGCCACAAUAGGACGAAACGGCCGUCCAGUGC
rfam:Schistosoma mansoni strain Puerto Rico chromosome 1, complete genome